CUACGGGCGGCUGCAGUGAGGAAUUUUGCGCAAUGGGGGCAACCCUGACGCAGCAGCGCCGCGUGAGUGAAGAAGGCCUUUGGGUCGUAAAGCUCUGUCAACUGGGAAGAAGUUAAGAUUGUUUAAUAGAUGAUCUUAUUGACGGUACCAGUGGAGGAAGCGCCGGCUAACUCCGUGCCAGCAGCCGCGGUAACACGGGGGGCGCAAGCGUUAUUCGGAAUUAUUGGGCGUAAAGGGCGCGCAGGCGGUCUUGUCAGUCAGGUGUGAAAGCCCGGGGCUCAACCCUGGAAGUGCACUUGAAACAGCAAGACUUGAAUACGGGAGAGGAAGGCGGAAUUCCUGGUGUAGAGGUGAAAUUCGUAGAUAUCAGGAGGAACACCGAUGGCGAAGGCAGCUUUCUGGACCGAUAUUGACGCCGAGGCGCGAAGGCGUGGGUAGCGAACGGGAUUAGAUACCCUGGUAGUC
rnacentral:rRNA from 1 species